UUAAGGAAGACCAAUUACAUUCUAUCAGUAAUUGUUUGCAAACCCUGGGAAUUAUUUUCUAAAAAAAAAUCUUUGCCAAAUUGAUUGAUAAGGGAAAAUUGUAUUAAACUGGGGGGAUUCAACUUUUUCUUAGCUGAGACUUCAGCCUGGGAAGCAACUGCAAGGCAACAAAACAGCUGCUGUGACUUCACUGGGGCAGUCUCCUCUGUCCCAACCCGCCUGGCUCAGACGCAGGUUUGCGGGUCAAAGAACAGCAAGCAGCCCAGGAUUUUGGCCCGUAGUCCUGCAAAUACUGCCACUGACGCAGGAUCUGCAGAGCCGAGGGGGUGUGUGAAGGGGGCAAGGGCUGCUGUGUCAGAAGGUCGUCGGCGUAGACACACCCUCAUCGCUGCAUCAGCAGGCGACAACCGAACCGAAAUCAGAACGAAAAACAGACAAAGCAAACAAGUUACAAUAACACCCUUAUUCUAUAGCUAAUGUUUUCCUUCAAGAGAAACCAGACAGAGGACAAAUGAGAGAACCCGACUCUACUUAGGAAACUGUACUGACACCAGGGUCUCUGUUGGCCAAGCCAGAGGGCAGUGGCAUGACCAUAGCAUGAUUGGACACCCUGUACCUGAAUCGAGUCCCAUAAUCUUCACGUCGAUCCUAAAAGCAGAGCCUGUCUCAUCCCCACUUCCCAGAUGAGUACUACGUCACACGGGUCAUCAGCGGAGAGUCGGCGUUCAAGCAUCUCAGUCUGGCUCUAGGUCUCACUACGCAAGGCUUCCUCUCUUUAGAGGACAAAAUGAGUCAGGAAGCACGGUCCUUUCUUCCCUAAAGAAUAUAUAUAUAUAAACAUGAAGAGAGAGCCAGCUAGGGAAAACCAUAAGAAAAUAAUGAAUUAACUAUGUGGAUUAAGCAUGGACCAUUCACUCGCCUUCCAUUGCUCAUUUUCUUAGUUAUUGUAUAUCUUUCCAUGCUGAAUCAUAAUCAGUUAUUACUCAUCUAUUGGGGACAGAGGAAUGGAUAUAUUCUAACUUCCCAAGUGGACUGUGAACUCCCUGAAAAAGUGCACAAUAGGAGACACUCUCAACGUCUCCCUGUAUGGCUGGCAUAGCACUUUCUACAAGCCAUGCUCAAAACUUGUUGGCCACUUGGCAAUGAAUAGCACAGAGAGCAGAGGGGAAAGUAUGGUAGAAGAAGUGGCAAUUAAAUGGAAACCAAAGUCCUUGCAUAUUUAUAGUAUUUAUAGAUGGAGGGGUGAGAAAUUUAGGAGGGAUUAGGAAGCUAGGCUGGACUUUGGUAUGUUCUAAUGCUUUACAUUUAUAGAGAGCUUUGUGGUUU